rfam:Trichoderma virens Gv29-8 TRIVIscaffold_1, whole genome shotgun sequence.
UCCGAUAUGGUGUAGUGGCUAACAUCGCUCGCUCUCAUUACUGACCCGAGCAGCCCUGGGUUCGAUUCCCAGUAUCGGAG